CCGUGCCGUAUGCAGGGGGACAACAGUCAGAAAUGACUGCUAAUACCGCAUAAGCACACAAUGCUGCAUGGCAUGGUGCGAAAAGAUUUAUCGGCAUACGAUGGCCCCGCGUCUGAUUAGCCAGUUGGCAGGGUAAUGGCCUACCAAAGCAACGAUCAGUAGCCGGCUUGAGAGAGUGACCGGCCACAUUGGGACUGAGACACGGCCCAGACUCCUACGGGAGGCAGCAG
rnacentral:rRNA from 1 species